rnacentral:lncRNA from 1 species
CCCCUUGAAGCCUACUGCAGCAGUUCCUUUUCAUGGAAAACCAGUGCAAGCCAGUAUUAGUUCCUCAGGUCAAGGUGGGGAAGAAACAGGCAAAGAAAAUGAUGGUGGAAGUCACCCAUUGACCCUGCUCGGUCCUGAAGUGAGGCUCAAAGAAUGUGCAGAACAGACCAGUGAUUCUCUUACUGUGGCACAGAAUAUUCCAGUUAUAUCUCCUGAUCUCCAGGAAACAAAUCUAGAUUGUUUUUGCCCUGAAACAGAGCUGGAAAAACCUGUUUCUGUAGCUGCUGAUUCAGAUGGGAAAGGAGAAGAAAUUGCUGCUUCCAGUCUUGAUAAUGGGGUGGAUAAUUCCACCCUCACUGCUGAGCAACCUGAUUUUGCUGGUGCCUGUUUACCAGAGAUCAAAGAUUCUGGAUUGUGUGAUAAGUUUGCCUUCAAAACAGAAGAUAAUGGGAGCACCUGUUGUAAGGAAGUUCAAGUGGAUGGAGAGAUUCUGCAAGAUGUCCAUCAAGAAAUAAUUUCAAGUUUGAAGUCUGAACCUUGCAAUUGCAAUUUUGAAGCGAAUGGCAAACAUCUUGAGAUUGGUAAUUUCACUGAUGAAUCAUUGGGCAUAAAUAAAAGUCCAAUCCAAGAGGAUUCUGAGGGAUGGACCACAAUCAACAAGGUGGUCUCUUCAGCUUCCGUUUGUGAUUCAGUGGAGGAACAACGUGUGGUCAAUGAAAAGAUCAAUGGAAGUCUUGAUCCAGACUAUGGAUACCUUCGAGGAAAUCCUUCACCUGGAGAUUCUGAACCUGAAUCCAAUACCGAUGUCACCUACAGAAACCAGAUGGACAAACAGACACGUAACAGGAUGUGGUACCUGAUAUAUCAGCACGUAGUAUCAGGAAUUGGAGCAAAUGUUGAAAGCCAUGGACUUCUAGAUGAUGUCAACAAGACCCUUCCUCAGGGUGCCUCCGAAACAGAUCAGAAUAAGGGUAUGGAAAAUCAUGAUGCGUACUGUGAAGACACUGAACUCCGCCAGAGUGACGCAAUUAAGCUGGUACAAGAAGCAAUUGAUCAAAUGCUUUCACCUCAAAGCGAAGACCACCCACUGGAUAAUCCUUCAAGCACCGGUGUCAUAACUGCAGAACAGGAGCUCUUAGGAGAGAAUCAGGUUGAAGGGAGGGAACUGAGCAUCUCAGCUUCCAACAGUUCUGCUGAAGAUGGGUCCAGAGAAUUUGACAAAAUAAAAGCGAAUCAUGAUAAGAAAGAGGAUCCAGAAGAAGCGUGGGUUAAAGCAGAUAAUAUCACAACCCCAAAAGAAGAGAAAACAGUAUCAAAGGUGGGGAGCAAAUCUAACCAGCCAGUGUCCAAGAACUGGAGCAACCUGAAAAAACUAAUCCUCCUCAAGAGAUUCGUCAAGUCGUUGGAAAAAGUGAAGAAAUUCAACCCACGGGGGCCACGAUUCUUACCGUUGAAGCCUGACCCAGAAGCAGAAAAAAUUUGC